rnacentral:rRNA from 1 species
GUGGGGAAUAUUGGACAAUGGGCGAAAGCCUGAUCCAGCCAUGCCGCGUGUGUGAAGAAGGUCUUCGGAUUGUAAAGCACUUUAAGUUGGGAGGAAGGGCAGUAAGUUAAUACCUUGCUGUUUUGACGUUACCGACAGAAUAAGCACCGGCUAACUUCGUGCCAGCAGCCGCGGUAAUACGAAGGGUGCAAGCGUUAAUCGGAAUUACUGGGCGUAAAGCGCGCGUAGGUGGUUUUGUAAGUUGGAGGUGAAAUCCCCGGGCUCAACCUGGGAACUGCCUCCAAAAAUGCAUGACUAGAGUACGGUAGAGGGUAGUGGAAUUUCCUGUGUAGCGGUGAAAUGAGUAGAUAUAGGAAGGAACACCAGUGGCGAAGGCGACUACCUGGACUGAUACUGACACUGAGGUGCGAAAGCGUGGGGAGCAAACAGGAUUAGAAACCCUGUAGUCC